rnacentral:rRNA from 1 species
CGAGAGCCCCGAGAAGGGCCUUCGAAC